rnacentral:tRNA from 1 species
AUUUAAGUAGCUUAAAUUAGAGCAUAAUAUUGAAGAUAUUAAGGUAAUGAUAAUUCUUAAAUA